CGGAGGAUCCAAGCGUUAUCCGGAAUCAUUGGGUUUAAAGGGUCCGUAGGCGGGUUUAUAAGUCGGUGGUGAAAGCCCAUCGCUCAACGAUGGAACGGCCAUUGAUACUGUAGAUCUUGAAUUAUUAGGAAGUAACUAGAAUAUGUAGUGUAGCGGUGAAAUGCUUAGAGAUUACAUGGAAUACCAAUUGCGAAGGCAGGUUACUACUAAUGGAUUGACGCUGAUGGACGAAAGCGUGGGUAGCGAACAGGAUUAGAUACCCUGGUAGUCCACGCCGUAAACGAUGGAUACUAGCUGUUCGGAGCAAUCUGAGUGGCUAAGCGAAAGUGAUAAGUAUCCCACCUGGGGAGUACGUUCGCAAGAAUG
rnacentral:rRNA from 1 species